rnacentral:rRNA from 1 species
AGACUGUCUGCUUCCAAUAGUCCGUCUAUGUGUUGGACAGGUACUCUGUUACCUUGACCCAUUUGACCUCAAAUCAGGUAGGACUACCCGCUGAACUUAAGCAUAUCAAUAAG